rnacentral:rRNA from 1 species
UACGUAGGGGGCAAGCGUUAUCCGGAAUUACUGGGUGUAAAGGGAGCGUAGACGGUGAUGUAAGUCUGGAGUGAAAGGCGGGGGCCCAACCCCCGGACUGCUCUGGAAACUAUAUGACUGGAGUGCAGGAGAGGUGAGCGGAAUUCCUAGUGUAGCGGUGAAAUGCGUAGAUAUUAGGGGGAACACCAGUGGCGAAGGCGGCUCACUGGACUGUAACUGACGUUGAGGCUCGAAAGCGUGGGGAGCAAACAGG